GUGGAGGUUUAGCUCAGUGGUUACUUCAAAUCUUUGCCAAUGAUUUCAUCCAACUCCAGCGGUCCGUGGGCCAGGGGUUCGAACCACGGGUGCUGUCCUCCGCCUUU